rnacentral:rRNA from 1 species
UACGAAGGGGGCUAGCGUUGUUCGGAAUGACUGGGCGUAAAGGGCGCGUAGGCGGCGCAUCAAGUCGGGCUGUGAAAGCCCCGGGCUCAACCCGGGAAUUGCGCUCGAGACUGGUGUGCUGGAGUGCGGGAGAGGAUGGUGGAAUUCCCAGUGUAGAGGUGAAAUUCGUAGAUAUUGGGAAGAACACCGGUGGCGAAGGCGACCAUCUGGACCGCAACUGACGCUGAGGCGCGAAAGCGUGGGGAGCGAACAGG